AUGGCGUACAGCCUGAAGAUGGCCUGUGUCGCCAUCGCUCUCGCCGCCACCGCGCUCCUCUUCACCAUCCCACGAUCUCAAGCAUGGGAUGCGGACAUGGUGCCGGUGGGGGCGCCGGAGCACGCGUUGACGGCGAUCCCGGGCGGCGGCGCAGGGACGUUGGCAGCGGGGGCGCCGGUGUGCCUCCAGUGCCGGUGCUGCUCCAGGUCGAACUCGGGCAGCUGCCAGAUCACCAGCUGCUGCUCCACCUUCAACUGCGACCCCACCGGCAAGUGCAACGUCGUGCAACAGAAGUGCGGCUGCAACGGCUGCUAA
rnacentral:rRNA from 1 species